rnacentral:rRNA from 1 species
GAUGAACGCUGGCGGCGUGCCUAAUACAUGCAAGUCGAGCGAACGGACGAGAAGCUUGCUUCUCUGAUGUUAGCGGCGGACGGGUGAGUAACACGUGGAGAACCUACCUAUAAGACUGGGAUAACUUCGGGAAACCGGAGCUAAUACCGGAUGAUAUUUUGAACCGCAUGGUUCAAAAGUGAAAGACGGUCUUGCUGUCACUUAUAGAUGGAUCCGCGCUGCAUUAGCUAGUUGGUAAGGUAACGGCUUACCAAGGCAACGAUGCAUAGCCGACCUGAGAGGUUGAUCAGCCGCACUGGAACUGUGACCCGCUCCUGACUCCUGCGGGAGGCAGCAGUAGGGAAUCUUCCACAAUGGGCGAAAGCCUGACGGAGCAACGCCGCGUGAGUGAUGAAGGUCUUCUGAUCGUAAAACUCUGUUAUUAGGGAAGAACAUAUGUGUAAGUAACUGUGCACAUCUUGACGGUACCUAAUCAGAAAGCCACGGCUAACUACGUG